CACCACUUCCCCAAAGUGAGGCCACUGCCCUCAGCUUCUUGGUGACCGCAGAUAUGGGCAGAAACCCCCAAAAGUCAGGAGCAAAUUUGUUUCAGAAUCUUUCCAAAUCUGUGGCUUAAAACAAGUUCAAAGCGAUUUUGAUGCACAGCUACAGUCUGGGCUGGUUUACUGCACAUUUAGACAUGGAAAAUCUUUCCUUUUUUUCCCCCUCUCUAUGUUUUUAAGAAAUCCUGUUGCAGGGUCGUUAAUCACGUUAUCCAUUAUACCAGAAACAAAUGGAUUUGUCACUUGUGCACAGAAGCCGAGGUUGAUUCUGAAAGCAAAUUGUAUCAAAAGAAAUGAAAUUAUUAUGAUAAUAUAAACUAGACUGCAGUGAUUAAUCUCUAGAAACCAAAUUCUGACCUGCUUUGCACUUCAAACAAUAGCUUCUGUUAUGUAAAUAGUUGUGGGGUUUUCAAGGACAUUAUCGCUAAAUUCAAGAAAAGUUCUAUUCAUGAAAAUCUCUUCGUGGAUAAAAACUGAGAGCCAGGAACCAGGUCUACAAGGUAACCAAAGCAGAGACAAUGGAAGUAAUGAUGGUUCAGAGAUGGAGUCUCACUAUGUUGCCUGGGCUGUUCUCAAACUCUUGGCCUCAAGCAAUCCUCCCACCUCAGCCUCCCAAAGUGCUGGGAUUACAGAGGCAUGAGCUAGCAACUCUGAAACUACUUUCUGAUCAUCCUGGGAUUGAGCAAAUGAGUAAGUACAUUUAUUGUGGAUAUCAGGAGUCAGGUUUCUUACUGUCAGAAAAGCAAUGGAAAGGGGGAAUGACAGAAUUAACCCUGUGGUGUUGGGUAGAAACUGGAGGCAUGAGUGUGAAGUCAUAGGUUUUAGUAUAACCAGAUUUAGAAACAGAUGAAGAUUGUAAAGCUAUGUAUAUAUGUGUGUACACACAUAUGUGUGUAUGCAUGAAUUUACUAAUACCUGUUUCCCAGUUCUGCUUGCUCAGGAAAGUGCUGACAUCCCACUAGCAAAGAACACUCCUAGUGCCCAGAUUUUGGUUUCUAAAUACUGUUCUCUGCCAAAAGGAACCAAGGCUCUUUAGAGAGACGGCUGACUCCAGGGUGAGACAAGAAAAAUACAAGACAAGCCUGGACUAUCUCAUACUGAAAACUAAAGAAAACAAUAGUAAAGAAACACAUACUGAAAACUAAAGAAAACAAUAGUAAAGAAACACUCGCCAGGUGUGGUGGCUCACUCCUGUAAUCCCAGCACUCUGGGAGGCCGAGGUAGUCAAAUCAUGAGGACAAGAUAUCGAGACCAUUCUGGCCAACAUGGUGAAACCGGAUCUCUACUAAAAAUACAAAAAUUAGCUGGGCAUGGUGGCAUGUGCCUGUAGUCGCAUCUACUUGGGAGGCUGAGGCAGGAGAAUUGCUUGAACCCAGAAUGCAGAGGUUGUAGUGAGCCAAGAUCACAUCACUGCACUCCAGCUGGUGACAGAGCGAGACUCCAUCUCAAAAAAAAAAAAGAAAUACUCAAAGAGUCAUAGAGUCAUGGGAGACUGUCAAAAGGACACCAUGGUUAGCUGGACGGUGUUCCUACUCGUAAAAUAUGGAAUAUUUUGAGCAUCAAAAUAAAUAAUAAUAGUAAAGGAUUCUAACCUACGAA
rnacentral:lncRNA from 13 species